CUGAUACUCCCUCCGUCCGGUAUUAGGUGUGGCAACUUUUUCUAUAUGGAUGUAUCCAGACGCGUUUUAGUGCGUAGAUACAUGCGUAUCUAGACAAAGUUGUGACACUUGAUACCGGACGGAGGGAGUAUAUC
rfam:Brachypodium distachyon strain Bd21 chromosome 2, whole genome shotgun sequence.